GCCUAUAGAGUUUGGAAGUUGAGCAAGUUUAUGGCAUUCUGUUAAGUCAAGGCCAGACAGAGAUGUUGAAUUGCCUAUUGGGUUGGGUAUGCAGACUAACGAUGCGCAAUAUGAGGCAUCUAGAGUCUCGAGCUCCUUCAAAGAACCAAUGGAUUCGGGUAAUUCUUCAAUGGCCGUAGAUUUCAAAUACAGCUCGGUCAAUGAUGUCAACUUUCCGAUAGAGUCUGGGAUUUGUCUCAACGAGUGGCAUCCCGACAAUAACAACUGCCGUAGAGACACGAGGAAGCCUAUAGAGUUUGGAAGUUGAGCAAGUUUAUGGCAUGCUAUUAGGUCAAGGCGAGACAGAGAUGUUGAAUUGCUUAUUGAGUUGGGUAUGCGGACUAACGAUGCGUAAUAUGAGGCAUCUAGAGUCUUGAGCUCCUUCAAAGAACCAAUGGAUUCGGGUAAUUCUUCAAUGGCCGUAGAUAUCAAAUACAGCUCGGUCAAUGAUGUCAACUUUCCGAUCAAGUCUGGGAUUUGUCUCAACGAGUGGCAUCCCCACAGUAACAAUUGCGAUAGAGACAUGAGGAAGCCUAUAGAGUUUGGAAGUUAAGCAAGUUUAUGGCAUGCUAUUAGGUCAAGGCGAGACAGAGAUGUUGAAUUGCCUAUUGAGUUGGGUAUGCGGACUAACGAUGCGCAAUAUGAGGCAUCUAGAGUCUUGAGCUCCUUCAAAGAACCAAUGGAUUCGGGUAAUUCUUCAAUGGCCGUAGAUAUCAAAUACAGCUCGGUCAAUGAUGUCAACUUUCUGAUCGAGUCUGGGAUUUGUCUCAAUGAGUGGCAUCCCCACAGUAACAAUUGUGAUAGAGACACGAGGAAGCCUAUAGAGUCUGGAAGUUGAGCAAGUUAAUUGCAUUCUGUUAGGUCAAGGCGAGAUAGAGAUGUGGAAUUGCCUAUUGAGUUGGGUAUGCGGACUAACGAUGCACAAUAUGAGGCAUCUAGAGUCUUGAGCUCCUUCAAAGAACCAAUGGAUUCGGGUAAUUCUUCAAUGGCCGUAGAUGUCAAAUACAGUUCGGUCAAUGAUGUCAACUUUUCGAUCGAGUCUGGGAUUUGUCUCAACGAGUGGAAUCCCCACAAUAACAAUUGCGAUAGAGACACGAGGAAGCCUAUAGAGUUUGGAAGUUAAGCAAGUUUAUGGUAUGCUGUUAG
rnacentral:lncRNA from 1 species